CCUACGGGAGGCAGCAGUAGGGAAUAUUGCUCAAUGGGGGAAACCCUGAAGCAGCAACGCCGCGUGGAGGAUGAAGGUUUUCGGAUUGUAAACUCCCUUUUUUAGAGAAGAUAAUGACGGUAUCUAACGAAUCAGCACCGGUUAACUCCGGGCCAGCAGCCGCGGUAACACUGAGGGUGCAAGCGUUACUCGGAAGCACUGGGCGUAAAGAGCGCGUAGGCGGGAUAGCAAGUCAGAUGUGAAAUCCUAUGGGUUAACCAUAGAAGUGCAGUUGAAACUGUUAUUCUAGAGUAUGGGAGUGGUAGGUGGAAUUCUUGGUGUAGCGGUGAAAUCCGUAGAGAUCAAGAGGAAUACUGAUUGCGAAGGCAACCUGCUAGAGCAUAACUGACGCUGAUGCGCGAAAGCGUGGGGAGCAAACAGGAUUAGAUACCCUGGUAGUC
rnacentral:rRNA from 1 species